CUCAAAUACAGGGCUUAAGACAACACACAUUUUAUUAUGUCAUGGUUUCUGUGGACCAGGAAUCUGAGCACUGCUUAGCUGUUUUAGGGUAUCAAAAGGCCACAAUCAAGGUAACAACUGGGGCUGUUGCCUUAUCUUGGGCCUGACUGGGAAAGGACCUGCUUCCAAGCUCAUGUAGUUGUUGGAAGUAUUCUAUUUGCUCCAGAUUGUUGCACUAAGGGACUCGGUAUGUUGCUGGCCAUUAACCAGGUGCUGCCCUCAGUAGCUUGCCACUUAGCUCCCCUCUUGGCCAGCCCACAGCAUGAUAGCUUGCUUCUCUAAAGCUAACAAGGAGAGUUUCCUAGAAAAAUGGCAACAGUAUUACAUAAUAUUGUCACAUAUAUGUUUUUAUGUACAUUCUCUUGCAUUUGCUGUAUUCCAUUGGUGAGAAGCAAGUCACAGGUCCCAUCAAUACUCAAGGGGAAGGAGUGAUACAAAGCAUGGCCACAACGAAGUUGGGAUCAAGGGGACUACUGUGGAGUCUAUCUGCCACAAUUGGAAAAUUACAAAAGACCUAGGAUCAACCAGGUAGAAGAAUUAGAAAAGUAUCAUAAAGGCAGAAUCAUCAAAACUUGUCUGGCAUGGAGGAAAAAUAAGACAGAAGCCAUGUAGGAGUCUACAAUUUCAAUUGGAUUUGACAAAUUACAUAGGCAUGCUGAAGGAAUUUGCAUUUACUUGUGGAUAGGUAAAUCAUGGACCAUGACAGAACACUUUGGUAAAUUAUAUUAUUUACUUAUCAAAUCAUCUAUGCCACUAUACCCCUCCUCUGUGUUUUGAAGGUAAUGAAUAUUAAUUUGAAAUAGAAAAAACUGUGUGGUUGUUUAGGAUAUUUUAGAAAAAUUGUCAAGUAUUGAAUGUAAUGCAAAUUCAUAACUUAUAUUUCUCACCAGAAGUAGUUGUUUUAUCAGAUGAGUAUUAUUUCAUUAUUAUUUCAUUUCCAGAGCAACAGGGCCUUUUGAAUUUUUC
rnacentral:lncRNA from 1 species